AGGGAGCCUGAAGAACAACAUCUUGUUCCCAGCUGAGCAGUCUUCCCCCACAGCAGGCUGCUGAGAGCCCUGUUGCCAAGGAUGGGGCAUGCACAGCCUCUGUGCACAGCCUGGGCCAGUGCCCCACCACCCCCAGUGGAAAAGAGCAGCUUCCUUAGAUGCAGCUUCAAUCAACCUGCUGCAGUUGAAAGCCAUCCCCCCUUGUCCUGUCAGCACGGGUCCUGCUGAACACUCUGUCCCCUUCUUUCCUGCGGGACCCUUCCAGUCCUGCGCAGCCACAGGGAGGCCUCCCAGUGUCUCCUCUCUCCAGGCUGAGCAUCCCCAGCCCCACUUGCCCAGCAGUCAGUCACAUCAGGGCGAGUCAAGGCUGAAGGGUAGCAAAUAGCAUCGGGAACUGACAGAUGCAAGCUUUAGACCCAGGUUUUUCUGUUUGAAAGGAAGCUUGGCAAAAUGUCCAUUGUCUUCUCCAUUUGUGAAAGACCAAGUGGAGUCUGGGCAGGCUGAUAUGCAGAGCAAAACCUGAAAAUAUACUAGUGAUCCUGAGCCUGGGGGAUGCAGCUAAACCCAGCCAAAAGCAAUUUCUGGAAAGCUGAUACUCGUUUACAUUAUCUUGAGUUUGGCUUUGCCAACUUCACCAGUCAUUUAUGAAAAAGCUAACAAAGAACUCAAACCAAAUCAUACAAAAACCCAAACAAACAAACAAAAAAACAAACCCAUGCAGCAAACCAAUCAAACAAAUAGAUAAAAAAUGCCAAAUAAAACUAAAGGAAAUGAAGAGUUAGUACUAGUUGUGAGGAUAGCACAGCAGGCAAAUGGCUGCUUCCCACAGGAUCACCAUCAAAAGCCACAUAGAACAGCUGCUGCAAAAUAUACCCAACAGGAGAAAAAGAAAAAGUGAUCCAUGGCAACUUUGGGGGCAGCUCCACAUUCAGGUGAAGGAUGAGCACGCAGUGGUACAGAUCCAGCAUUGCCCACCCUCCAGGCUGCUGUUUGCUCCUGAUGAAAGCCCCUUGCAGGACUGUGGCCCCUCUCAGUGCAGUGUCAGUCAUUCCCAGAGCUCUCAACUGAGCCACUGGCAUUUGCAGAGUGACAUCCAGUGGGAUACCCUUUUCGGUUUGUCUCCUAAUGCCACAGGGGUCCUAAACAGUAUAUGCCAUCCCAUUUUUGUUCCGUUGAUAUUGACUGCUUGGUUUUAUUUUGUCAGCAGUUCUAUUCAUUAUGAAUUGGAAUAUGAUGAAGAUACUAAGGAAGUUAGCACCUAUAAUUAGUGCACAUAGCUUAACUGAUGCGGCAGCUCAUUUAAUGCUUGCUAGGAAAGAACUAGAAAGAUUUAAUGAACCAAACUGGUAAAAAAAGAAAUGGGGGAUUUGUAAUAAGUAGUAAUACAUUUGUUCAUUAAUUAAAUCAAUAGCUAAAUAACUAUAUGUUAUAAAACAAUAGUUAAAUAGCCAAAAAAACUUCUUGUGCAGAUACAUAUGGUUGCUGGUUUACUAUAGUGCUUUGGGAAUUCCAUUGUAAAGUUAUGCCUUGUGAAAGGAAAGUAAUGAGAAGCAGCUGUAAUAACAAUCCUUAAACUUGCUAGAAUUGCUUAGCUUGCAGAAAGUGUAUAGUACUAGUAAGAAUUGCUUAGCUUGCAGAAAAGUGUAUAGUGUUCUGUAUAGCUAUGCCUUAUAAGGCAUAAGUUCACUCAGCGUUCACAAAGAGGAAGACUAAGGGGGACUAAGCCUUCAUCCCACGACCACCAGAAGGCAGAAAAAGACCCCCUAGCAACUGAAUGAGCAAGCGCAGAAGACAGAUCACGUCAUCCCUAAACCCGGAGAAGAAGGCAAUAAAAGGUGGACUCAGGGGAUAGGAAUUUUGUGAGCCAAAGUGGAGUGGAGACUCCGGGCCGCCCAGCGCCGUCCUUGCUUAUUCUUGCUUGCAAAAAUAAUAAAGAUAAUUAUUUGAUCCUUAAA